CCCGCCCCCAAACAAAGCCACGCGGCGUGCACGCGCUCACUCUCCUCGGGCGGGGGCGAGGGGACUCCCCACACGCUGAGCCUGAGGCCCGCCCCCUCACUUGCAACAGACACUUACGCAAGCACGCCCCCGCAACCCCUGCACCGAAGCGCGCGCCAGGCCGAGCCCCGCCCCCGCACAACCCACGCAGCAGUAGAGCCGCGCGCACGUACAGAGUGUACCUGGAGCUCCCGGGGCCACGGUUCUCCUGUUAAAUCAUGUGGAUGCCCUGAGGCGCGAGGGGCUUUCUGCGAGCCAGGGAACCAAACCCAGCCUCCGCAGUUGGCCUCCCUCACCGGCUAGCACACCCGCAGGUUCCCGUGCAUGGGCUUGCACUGCGGCGCUCGGCGGUACUGGGAGCCGGGCUACCCCGCGGUUGCGCGUGCGCACUGCGACCUCAGUCUGCAACCCCCAGCAGCCUCCGGGGCGCAGCGGGGCCAGGCCCAGAACGAGGGGCAGACCUCCCGGUCUGCGCGUAUCGAGAUCUGUCCGGCCCGCAGUCGAAAAGACCGGGGAGAGGGGCCCAGGGACGGUGCUCAGGCCAGAAGUAGAAUCUCGUUCGCGCCAACGUAGAACGAAGGUCCCCAGAGUCCUUUGCGCUACGCCUCUCUGGCCCGCAGCCUACAUUUCCCGGGAGCCCCUGCGACGCGUGGGGACGCGGCGGCGCGCGGAGAGGAGCGUCGGGCGGCCGCGCGCGCAAUGGCUGCAUCUGAGGUGACCGCCUCGUCCUCCGGAUUCUCUGAGAGGUGUGCGGUGUGGACCCGCCCCUGGCACCUGGGCGUGAGUCCCGGGUUGUGACGGCGUGUGUGUACAAUCCUGACUGCAGUCGCAGUGUGGACUCUCCCCGCCGUCGAACAAUGACCCCACUGGCGUGUGCUACGAUCCGCCCUGAUUCUGACCCUACCUCGCUGGCGACGGCUCAGCCCCCAGGACGGCGCUCACCCCCCUCCCCCACCGGACCCCAGUUCCAGGUCUGUAGGUCAGAGUUUCUGGGGACCCUCCUCCGAGGGCUUAAUAUGCCAAGAGCGGAUCACAGACCUGGGAGAGGCGUCUUACUUACCGGUCACCAGCGUUACAAAAGGACGUAACCCAGAAACGGCCCUGGAAGAGGUGCGCAGGGUGAAGCUUCCACUCUUCCAGCGCCUCCACGCGUUCACCGACCCGGAAGCGCUCUGAACCGCGUCCUUUUUCGGAAGAGGCUACACCGCAGAGGCACGGUGGAUGAAACCUUUGGCCGAUGGUGAUGGAACUCAAUUUCCAGCCCCUCUCCCCUGCACCGAGGUCAGGGGGUGGGAUUAAAAGUUCUAACCCUCGCCCGCUGGCUUGGUUCCCCUGGCAACCAGCCCCACCAAAGGAGUGUUCCUCGAUUUCCUGUUCGUUAACAUAACAAAAGAGAGCCUUCCCUCUCAGCACUUAGGAAAUUCCUAGGGUUGGGGAGCUCCAGGCCGGGAAGGGGCGAAGAACGAAUGCCUGUUUCUUACUACACAGCACUACAUCGCGCCACGUGCGGGGGAAACCCUGGGUUUGUGGCGGUGCCCUCUGGGACUAGGUACUAAGAAUAAAUGUGUAAGGCACUAGUUUCUGCAUUCCCAGUUGUGUGACAAGGUGGUGGUGAUCAUCAAAAUAGCAGCUAACGGGUAUUAGGACUUUCACUACCACCGCUGCUAGCAGCUGGCACAUUGCUGCCCCAGGUCAAAAGUGUCAUUUCCACUUAAAGUUUUAUUUAAUCCUUUUAACCCUACUGUUGUUUCUACUGAGCUCUCCGGUCUCCAGGUGCAUAAACGGAGGCACAGGGAGGUCAGGUUAACUCACCCAAGGUCACACAGCUAGUAAAGAUCAGAGCGUGUUUUUGAACCCGGGUCUUGCUGACUCCAAAACCCCUGCUCUUUGCACCCCUUCGGGUUUUUUUUUUUCCCUGGAGCAAGCUGCUUCUUGAACUGGGAGAUUCGUCAGUACCUGGUGGUGCUGGCGGUACCUCUGCUGACACCUGGAAGCUAGCACCUGCUGUCUGGGAAGAUGCUUUCCCUACGGAAUUCACUGUGGGGUGGGCAUCCACUGGCCAAGAGGCUGCUAACUGAAUUCAGGAAUGAAUGCAUGGAUAAAUGAAUACUGCUAGUUUAGCCAUACAGAACUGAGGCUCGAAGACAUUACACUGUUUCUUGACAAGUGAAAUUUUGGGAGCCAAGGUUCAAACCAGAAAUUUCUGACGCAAAUAUUCCAGAGCUUUAUCUUAAGCCAUUUUUGUCUAUUUCAUUUCACUUAUUCUUUUAUUUAUCCAAUAUUUUAGUUUCUAUUACGUACCAAGUAUUUUGCCAAGUUGAUGUAAAAUGAUAGAAUCAUAACAAAAUAGAGGUGGUCUCCAAAGUCAUGGAGAUCACAGUAAAAUAAACGACGCUUACAGUAAAUAAGCAAAUAGAAGUAGAGUACAUUCAUAUAACACACUGUAAUUUAAGAAUAUUCUGAUAGUUUAUCCAUUAUGUCAUCACAUAAGAUGGUUUGAAAGAAUUUCGUGCAAUUUAGAUAAUGUGGGUUUUUUUUUUUUUUAACGUUUUUUAUUUAUUUUUGGGACAGAGAGAGACAGAGCAUGAACGGGGGAGGGGCAGAGAGAGAGAGGGAGACACAGAAUCGGAAACAGGCUCCAGGCUCCGAGCCAUCAGCCCAGAGCCUGACGCGGGGCUCAAACUCACGGACCGUGAGAUCGUGACCUGGCUGAAGUCGGACGCUUAACCGACUGCGCCACCCAGGCGCCCCCUGGGUUUUUGUUUUUUAGAGAGAGAGAAUAUCUCAAGCAGUCUCUGUACUGGGAGUCUGAUGAGGGUCUCAAUCCCAUGACCCUGACACCAUGACCUGAGCGGAAAUCAAGAAUCAGAUCCUCAACUGAUUAAGCCACCCAGGCGCCCCUAUAAUUUUUAUGUUCAUUUUUAACUUUGUUUUGAAAUUGUACAAAUUUCAUAAUUUUCAUUCAUGUUUUCCUUUUUACCCUAGAGUUGUUUAAUGGAAAUGUUUUAUAAUUUCCUGUUGUAAGCAUCCUUUAUUUAGGUUUUCAUGUUCUCCUUUAAAUCUCUUCAUUUCUUGCAUUGUGAGCAUAAAUGACACUUGUAAUUUCAA